rnacentral:rRNA from 1 species
UGCGUAGGUGGUGAGGUAAGUCGGAUGUGAAAUCUCGGAGCUCAACUCCGAAAUGGCAUUGGAAACUACCUUGCUCGAGGGUUGGAGGGGGGACUGGAAUACUUGGUGUAGCAGUGAAAUGCGUAGAUAUCAAGUGGAACACCAGUGGCGAAGGCGAGUCCCUGGACAACUCCUGACACUGAGGCACGAAAGCUAGGGGAGCAAACA